rnacentral:rRNA from 1 species
AACGAACGCUGGCGGCAGGCUUAACACAUGCAAGUCGAACGCAUCCUUCGGGGUGAGUGGCAGACGGGUGAGUAACGCGUGGGAACGUGCCCUUCAGUUCGGGAUAACCCAGGGAAACUUGGGCUAAUACCGGAUACGUGCGAGAGCAGAAAGAUUUAUCGCUGAAGGAUCGGCCCGCGUCUGAUUAGCUAGUUGGUGGGGUAAUGGCCCACCAAGGCGACGAUCAGUAGCUGGUCUGAGAGGAUGAUCAGCCACAUUGGGACUGAGACACGGCCCAAGCUCCUACGGGAGGCAGCAGUGGGGAAUAUUGGACAAUGGGCGCAAGCCUGAUCCAGCCAUGCCGCGUGAGUGAUGAAGGCCUUAGGGUUGUAAAGCUCUUUCGUCCGGGACAAUAAUGACGGUACCGGAAGAAGAAGCCCCGGCUAACUUCGUGCCAGCAGCCGCAGUAA